GACGUAGGGCGCGAGCGUUGUCCGGAUUUAUUGGGCGUAAAGAGCUCGUAGGCGGCUUGUCGCGUCGACUGUGAAAUCCCGCGGCUCAACUGCGGGUCUGCAGUCGAUACGGGCAGGCUAGAGUUCGGUAGGGGAGACUGGAAUUCCUGGUGUAGCGGUGAAAUGCGCAGAUAUCAGGAGGAACACCGGUGGCGAAGGCGGUUCUCUGGGCAUGUCCUGACGCUGAGGAGCGAAAGUGUGGGGAGCGAACCGG
rnacentral:rRNA from 1 species